rnacentral:rRNA from 1 species
CGGCGCCGCCCCGGGGCUCGUGAUAUCUCAUCUCGCCGCCCGUCGCGAGGCGGACGGAGGGAUGGAUGAGGUUACCUGGAAAAAAUCGGGGCGAUCUAGGCGGGCGAACCUCGCCAACGAACGAUCGGACAUGGGAUAACGGAAGAGGGCGUCGGCUCGACUUCGUCGGUUCCUCGGGCCGAGGCACGUACGGUGAAUAGGGACGGUCGGGGCCGCCCGUACCGGGUCGUGAGAGGUGAAAUUCUAGGAUCGACCCGAGACGAACCGCCGCGAAAGCAUUCGGCAAGGACGCUUUCAUUAAUCAAGAACGAAAGUCGGGGGAUCGAAGACGAUCAGAUACCGUCGUAGUCCCGACCGUAAACGAUGCCGACCGAGGGCCCCGGAGGAGUUACGUACGACCCUCCGGGCCCUCCCGCGAGAAAUCAGGAGUAUUCGGGUUCCGGG